GAUGAAGAACGCAGCGAAAUGCGAUAAGUAAUGUGAAUUGCAGAAUUCAGUGAAUCAUCGAAUCUUUGAACGCACAUUGCGCCCCUUGGUAUUCCGAGGGGCAUGCCUGUUCGAGCGUCAUUAUAACCCUCAAGCUCAGCUUGGUGUUGGGGCCUGCUGCACUGGCAGCCCUUAAAAUCAGUGGCGGCGCCAUCUGGCUCUAAGCGUAGUAAUUCUUCUCGCUAUGGAGUCCUGGUGGAUGCUUGCCAUCAACCCCCAAUUUUUCUAUGGUUGACCUCGGAUCAGGUAGGGAUACCCGCUGAACUUAAGCAUAUCAUAAGCGGAGA
rnacentral:misc_RNA from 1 species